GCUUCGGUGGUUUAGUGGUUAGAGCGUCCGCCUCGGAUGCGGAAGGUCGUGGGUUCGAUCUCAAGUCGAGCCA